UGUGGGAUAGUGUAAUGGCAACAUAGCAGGUUCAUUCCCUGGAUAUCUCGGUUCGACUCCGGGUCCCGCAA
rnacentral:tRNA from 2 species